CUCACAACUUCUUUCCGGUGAGCUAGAUCAAAUUCACGCUGCUAUCGAUCCGAAAUGCUCCUGUAGCGCAAAAUUCUUUUUUCACUUUGAUCUCUGCUAAAACCCAAGUUUCUUUGGUAAAGGGGUUUUGAAGAGAUCCAAUUUAUAUUCAACCUCAUAUGGUACUGAAAUCUCAUCAAUAGAAAUUCAUCAAAACCAUGUUCUGUUCCAAUCUAACCUCGUGGGUUUCCCCAAAUCCGUCAAAACCUAACACAUAUGCAUUUUCUUUUCAAUUCCAAUCAAACCCAUUUCGCCAUUUAGCCCAAGUGCCCCCUCCAUACAAUACCUUCUCUCAAUCUUCAUUAUAUACUCAGAUUCGUUGUGGUCUUCGCGAGUUAAAAGGUCGGAUUAAUACUGUCAAAAGCGCCCAGAAGAUUACUGAGGCAAUGAAACUAGUUGCAGCUGCUAAGAUCCGAAGAGCUCAAGAAGCUGUUAUCAACAGCAGACCCUUUACUGAAGCCCUCCUUGAAAUGCUUUAUAUCAUCAACGAACAGCUCCAAUUGGAAGAUAUUGAUGUUCCAUUAACGAAUGUUAGGUCUGUAAGGAAAGUAGCACUUGUUGUUGUUACUGGUGAUAGAGGCCUUUGUGGUGGUUUUAACAAUGCAGUGCUAAAAAAGGUUGAGACCCGGAUUAUGGAAUUGGAAAAACUGGGGUUAGAUUACUCUGUGAUUAGUGUGGGCAGGAAGGGUAAUGCCUAUUUUAAGCGUAGACCUAAGAUUUCCGUGGAAAGAUUUAUUGAGGGAGGGAGUUUUCCCACAGCUAAAGAGGCUCAACUGAUUGCUGAUGAAGUAUUUUCACUGUUUGUCAGUGAAGAGGUUGAUAAGGUAGAGCUUGUUUAUACUAAGUUUGUGUCUUUGGUGAAGUCUGACCCGGUGAUUCAUACGCUGUUGCCAUUGUCACGUAGAGGAGAGGUUUGCGAUAUGAAUGGGAAUUGUGUUGAUGCUGCAGAUGAUGAGUUCUUUAGGUUGACCAGUAAGGAAGGGAAGUUGGCUAUUGAGAGGGAGAGUGUAAGGACAAAGAAGGAGGGAUUUUCACCUCUUUUGCAGUUUGAGCAAGAUCCAAUUCAGAUUCUUGAUGCUAUGAUGCCUCUCUAUCUAAAUAGUCAUGUUUUGAGGGCACUGCAGGAGUCAUUGGCUAGUGAGCUUGCAGCAAGGAUGAAUUCCAUGAGUAACGCAACAGAUAAUGCAGUUGAUUUGAAAAAGAAUCUUUCUAUUGCAUACAAUCGGGAAAGACAAGCAAAAAUUACAGGGGAAAUACUGGAGAUUGUAGCUGGAGCAGAGGCACUAACGGAAUUAGAGUAAUUCUAGGUCCUCGUUGUCCUUGAUCCAUGCUUGCUUCUCUCCUACAGUCAUUUUGCUUCGAAUUUUUUAUUACCUAGAUCCAAUAUCAGCUGUCACCUAGAUUGACAUUUCUUUAUUGUAAUCAUAGCCCGAGUCCAUAUCCGACUUUGAUAUGAAAUAAAUAAGAAAGCGAGAUGCAUACAAUGGGUUGUGCAUUUUGGUUCCUUUUCAUGGUAUGAAUUCUCCAUCCCUCGCCCUCCAUCUAUAUGUAUGUGUAUG
rnacentral:misc_RNA from 1 species